UCGCAGAGUAGCUGUUGACAUUAUAGUUGCGCAGGCACUUUGUUGACUGUAGAGAACCUCGGGCCAAUCGCACAUCCCCAUAAUGGCGACUUUGCAUUCGGAUGUCAUCAAUUUCAACUUUUGAUGCCAGUUUCUGCGCCUAUCAUGGUGACCAUGGGUAACGGGGAGUCAGGGUUCCAUUCCGUACAGGGACCCUGAGAAAUGGCUACCACAUACAAGGAAGGCAGCAGGCAUGCAAAUGACCCACUUCCGACGCGGGAAGGUAGUGAAGA
rnacentral:rRNA from 1 species